UACGUAGGCAGCAAGCGUUGUUCGGAAUUACUGGGCGUAAAGAGUGUGUAGGCGGUGUUCUAAGUUUGUCGUGAAAUCUCCCGGCUUAACUGGGAGGGUGCGGCGAAAACUGGAAUGCUCGAGGAUGGGAGAGGUAAGCGGAAUUCCUGGUGUAGCGGUGAAAUGCGUAGAUAUCAGGAGGAACACCUGUGGUGUAGACAGCUUACUGGACCAUUUCUGACGCUGAGACACGAAAGCGUGGGUAGCAAACAGG
rnacentral:rRNA from 1 species